UACGUAGGGGGCUAGCGUUGCCCGGAAUCAUUGGGCGUAAAGCGCGCGUAGGCGGCCCUGUAAGUCCGUUGUGAAAGUCAAAGGCUCAACCUUUUGAAAGCCGAUGGAUACUGCAGGGCUGGAGUCCGGAAGAGGCGAGUGGAAUUCCUGGUGUAGCGGUGGAAUGCGCAGAUAUCAGGAGGAACACCAAUAGCGAAGGCAGCUCGCUGGGACGGUACUGACGCUAAGGCGCGAAAGCGUGGGGAGCGAACAGG
rnacentral:rRNA from 1 species